CGUCAUCCCAGUGUUCAGACUACCUGUUCAGGAUCAUACUGGUGUACAGUAGUCUGCACAUUGGUUAGAC
ensembl:miRNA mir199-3a microRNA 199-3a